rnacentral:tRNA from 1 species
CGGGCUGUAGGAUAGUGGUAGUCCACACGCUUCGGGUGCGUGAAGUCUGGGUUCGAUUCCCAGCAGCCCGA